GGCGGCGUGCCUAACACAUGCAAGUCGAGCGGUAACAGGUGUAGCAAUACAUGCUGACGAGCGGCGAACGGGUGAGUAAUGCUUCGGAAUCUGCCCAAUAGUGGGGAAUAACUAGCCGAAAGGUUAGCUAAUACCGCAUACGACCUACGGGUGAAAGCAGGGGAUCGCAAGACCUUGCGCUGAUGGAUGAGCCGAAGUCGGAUUAGCUAGUUGGUAGGGUAACGGCCUACCAAGGCGACAAUCCGUANCUGGUCUGAGAGGACGACCAGCCACACUGGGACUGAGACACGGCCCAGACUCCUACGGGAGGCAGCAGUGGGGAAUAUUGGACAAUGGGGGCAACCCUGAUCCAGCGACGCCGCGUGUGUGAAGAAGGCCUGCGGGUUGUAAAGCACUUUUAGUGGGGAUGAAAAGCCUAGGGUUAACACCUCUGGGUCUUGACCUAACCUACAGAAAAAGCACCGGCGAACUCUGUGCCAGCAGCCGCGGUAAUAC
rnacentral:rRNA from 1 species